AGGGACAAAUAAAGAAGUGAUUAAUUGUUGGUGUUAAUUAGUAUCUUGGAAAAUAGUAAAUUAUAAUAGUCUCUUUUUGAAUGCAGCAUGGUUCCAAUAAAAUUAUUUUAAAAUACAUAAAGAUAACUAGGAGUUUUACUUUAUAGUUAAUAAUUUUGUGUUUGGAUUGACGGUGAAUUUGACAUAAUUAUAGUGAGUAAUUUAGUAAAAACUACACUUUGUAACUUCAACAAAAUCAUGGUGCCACCGCAAUUUCACUAAAGUCACCAUGAUUCCGAACAUCUGAUCACCAAUUAUUACUUUUACAACUCAUACAAAAACAUGAGGAGAAAGGGAAAGGAGGGUCACUUUUGGCACAUAAUUUUUGAAUGGUUGUUUUCAUAUAAACAACUUGAACACAGAAAAAGAUGAUGCCAAAUAUAUAAUUAAGAGAUGGAGCAUGCAUUUUUUGUUUUAUAUGUUGAAGAUAACUCUUUUCUAGAAGUCACCAUAAGAGUUCAAACUUUGAAGAUAGAUUCUGACACCAACACCAUGUGUGUGUGAGAGAGAGAAAGAGAGGCAGACAAAGAUAGGCACAAACUCACACACACUCACAAACCUCUGUAGAGACAGAGAAGUGAAGAAAACAGAGGUUCCAUUGAUGAGCAAAAUAGAAGACUCUCCCAUCAACUCCAUCAAAGACUUGGGAUAAGAAGGAACAAAAACCUUUGCAUCACUUUGGAGUAUGAACUUGUUCACAUCUGCAUCUGUUGAAACAAUGGUAGGGCUUCCAAAUAUGUGUGACUUGAAAACCUUACCAUACCUACAAGUUGAAACAACACAAAUACUUGUCAAAAACAACAAACACAACUUUUCUUAGUCACAUCACACUUUGAAAUUUUGUUUGAAUUGACUUAUUUCAACUUAUCUAUUGAUGAAGCACUUGUGAGACCGUUUGCAAGAGCUUACGAUAUGUUUAA